UGAAAUUGUCACAAUUCAUGUUAUGCUACCCAAGGUUUUUAAAAUAGGAUGCUGCGGCGAUGAUUGUGGUCAUGUAAGGAUUUUUAUGUUUAUGAGGCAACAUUACGGCUUAAAUUGUGGCCACAUCAGCCGUAUUAGACUUCAGUUUUCCUUAACAUAUCAAGGAAUGUUGCUGCUACCUCUUUCAUUUAAAUUUGUCUUGGAUUGAUGAACUGUUUUGUUGCGAUCAUGUUUGUGAUUAAGGUUUAGAGUGAUAUGUGCUAUUGUGAUCAAAUUUUUGUUGCUGCUACCUCUUUCAUUUAAAUUUGUCUUGGAUUUGAUGAACUGUUUUGUUGCGAUCAUGUUUGUGAUUAAGGUUUAGAGUGAUAUGUGCUAUUGUGAUCAAAUUUUUGUGUAUUCAUUUAAGUG
rnacentral:lncRNA from 1 species